rnacentral:rRNA from 1 species
GACGAACGCUGGCGGCGUGCUUAACACAUGCGAGUCGAACGGAAAGGCCCUGCUUUUGUGGGGUGCUCGAGUGGCGAACGGGUGAGUAACACGUGAGUAACCUGCCCUUGACUUUGGGAUAACUUCAGGAAACUGGGGCUAAUACCGGAUAGGAGCUCCUGCUGCAUGGUGGGGGUUGGAAAGUUUCGGCGGUUGGGGAUAGACUCGCGGCUUAUCAGCUUGUUGGUGGGGUAGUGGCUUACCAAGGCUUUGACGGGUAGCCCGCCUGAGAGGGUGACCGGCCACAUUGGUACUGAGAUACGGACCAGACGCCUACGGGAAGCAGCAGUGGAGAGUAUUGCACAAUAGGCGGAAGCCUGAUGCAGCAACGCCGGGAGCGGGAUAACGUCCUUCGGGUUAUGAACCACUUUCGCAUGAGACGAAGCCUGAGUGACGGUAAUGAGUAAAGAAGCACCGGCUAACUACGUG